AAAAACACAAAACACAGAAAAACACAGCUCUCGUUUCUCUCCUAAACACCCAACGGAACCCUAGCUCCGGCCCGGUUAAUCCGGUGCCGGAGGCGCCUCUCUUUUCCUCUCCCUCUUUUUCCUUUUGCUUUCUCUUCCCCUUUGUCCUUAGUCGAUAUGCUCGUUACUCUGGUGGGAUCUCCACUUGAUGCUCCUCUUUGACGCAGACGGUGGCAAGAUCUGACGAUCUGGAGCUGCGGCGAGGCUAACGAGAUGACGUGGGAGGACGAAAGUCGGCUUUUAGGGUUUUCAGAGUUACUGGAUCUGGUUUUUCCCCUUUUCAGAUUCACGGCAACUCCGACUCGGCGACGGCGCGUGGCUACGAAAUACACUUCCUUCACCUCGGAUCUACGUCCAUACGUGACGGUGAGACAAACGAAGGAAAAGUAGACGGCGAACAGACAGAGUUUGGUCUUCCGGGAUCUCCGGGAACACACGAACAAUGGCUCCCGCAGACUAAUGGGCAAAGAAGAAGAUACACUCUAGCGGUGGUUCGUGGCGGUGGCUUAUACCCUAGCUCUGAAGGUUUCUAACUUAUGGUACGAGCUCCGCUUCUCUGAAAUUCGGAUAUGGUGUAUCGACCCGCGUUUUGUGCAGCUGGAACCCGACUUUCAUUCGGAUACUGUGUCCGUUUUUAGGCUGAGGGUCACAGCGGUUGAAGACCAACAAGAUGAGGCUAUCUCGACUACGCAUCUACGGUGUUGAAGCUAUUGGAUCAUGAACUUUGAUGCCGAUUAUUAGGGUCCUUUAGCUAGUUUUAAUUGGUCUCGGGUAUAGUUCUUAGUCCUGUUGUGUUAGUAGGCGUUGUUGUACCAUGAGGUCGAAUUAGGAGGUUGAAGAGAAGGAUCAGUCCGGGUCGUGGAUUGAUCUCUUUCUCAUUGUGGUUCAAAGUACUUUGAGAUUUAAAUUAGGUAGCGUUGGAUCCAAUCAAGUGAUUCAGGGUGUUACUAGAUCAUCUCAAAGUACUAGUGGUUUAAAUUUCUAGUGGUCAAAUCUUUGUAUCCACAAAAUUGGUGAAAUGAAUGUUGAUGUUGAGCCAAAAAAAAAAAAAAAAAAGAAAACACAUUCUCUUUUAUUUUGUAACUGUCUCCUCUCUGUAUCGAUGUGUUCUUUUCGAUAUGAACCAAUCUGUAAUAUCAAUCACAAGGGGCCCACAUUAACUUGUCACGAUGGUCACAGUGUUAUGUAACUGAGCGUUACAACUGGGGAAGCAACGGCUACAAUAAACUUAAACUGGGAUCCUUUACUUACACCAAAUUCAAAGUCUC
rnacentral:lncRNA from 1 species